GGUGUGAGAUUUUAUCUUGGGGCAUGAGAAUUUUUGGAUAGGCAUGAGAUGGUGCAUGGAGAGGGUGCGAGUCAUUUUCGAAAGCAACCUAUCAUUAACUAUUUAAAGGGGGCUAUGCUGGGGAUUUAACUCAUUCAGAUUUUCAACUCCUUCUCUUCUUUCUUACACACUCUUCCUAUUAUCUAAUUAGUCUCUUUCUUCUCUUAUUAGGAUAAGUCUAAAAAUAGUAAGGACAAGUCUAAUUUUAGGACAAAAAUCUAGGAAGAGAUUUAAGGAAGACAAGGAGAGAAGAAAGAUAGGGAUAGGAAGGCUAGGAGGAGAGAAAGAAGGUCUUGAGGUCUUGCUGCCCAAGAAAAUUCUCAAAAUAAAAAUUUGGAGGAGAAAUCAUCCUAAAGAGUUGGUGUGCUGAUCAUAGCCUUGUGUGGAUCACCGUUGGAGGGCGAACACUUGGGUGCCUGGUGGAGGUUCUGUUGGAUUUUGAAAUAAGCACUACAGGUAUUCUUCUAUAGCUUGAAUUUUAUUAUGAAUAUAUAUUAUAUGAUUGUUAAUCAUCAAGAAAGUGCUGGUUUAAGAGUUUAAUAUUUUAAAUUUUUUAAUUUAAAUUUUUGAAAUCUAUUACACUUUCGCUGUGC
rnacentral:lncRNA from 1 species